CUUGGGGAAUGGAGUGAAAUUAUCUGUAGGGCCUAGCGUAGUGCCUGGCACGUAGCAAGCUGCAAGUGAUGGUUGCCACGGAGACACCAGCAGCCUUGGCUGGUGGGGCUGGAGUGUUCCCUACCCACGGUCCACCCUGUUCCUCCUUUGUAAGGCAGGACAAGGCAGGGCAGGGCAGCGGGCGGAUGGGCAUCCUUUCGGAAAAAACUCAGAGCGCAGAGGGCCUUGGCUGUGGUGUUUGGCACUAACGAGCUUCCCUCUCUCCUAGAUGGCGGACUGUGGCGGCCUCCCGCAGAUCUCCCAGCCGGCCAAGCUCGCUGAGGCCUUCAAGUACUUCGUGCAGGGCAUGGGAUACAGUGAGUAUGGCAUUCCCCGUGUGCAGUGGGUCGGGGCAUGUGUCGGAAUUGGAAGUGCUCUGUCCUGAGCCAGGUUUGGAUGAGCAAUUCUGUGUCCCCCUGGCCAGCUUCAGCUUUCUGGGAGGAAAGAGUUAGGUGUGUGGAGGGCA
rnacentral:sRNA from 1 species